CCUACGGGUGGCAGCAGUGAGGAAUAUUGGUCAAUGGGCGGAAGCCUGAACCAGCCAAGUCGCGUGAGGGAUUAAGGCCCUAUGGGUCGUAAACCUCUUUUGUCAGGGAGCAAUGGCGUCCACGUGUGGGCGUAUGGAGAGUACCUGAAGAAAAAGCAUCGGCUAACUACGUGCCAGCAGCCGCGGUAAUACGUAGGGGGCAAGCGUUGUCCGGAAUGACUGGGCGUAAAGGGAGUGUAGGCGGCUUAUCAAGUUAGAUGUGAAAUCCCGCGGCUUAACCGCGGAACUGCAUCUAAAACUGGUGAGCUGGAGUGCAGGAGAGGUGAGUGGAAUUCCUAGUGUAGCGGUGGAAUGCGUAGAUAUUAGGAGGAACACCAGAGGCGAAGGCGACUCACUGGACUGUAACUGACGCUGAGGCUCGAAAGCGUGGGGAGCAAACAGGAUUAGAUACCCGGGUAGUC
rnacentral:rRNA from 1 species